AUACGUAGGGUGCGAGCGUUGUCCGGAAUUACUGGGCGUAAAGAGCUCGUAGGUGGUUUGUCGCGUCGUCUGUGAAAUUCCGGGGCUUGACUCCGGGCGUGCAGGCGAUACGGGCAUAACUUGAGUACUGUAGGGGAGACUGGAAUUCCUGGUGUAGCGGUGAAAUGCGCAGAUAUCAGGAGGAACACCGGUGGCGAAGGCGGGUCUCUGGGCAGUAACUGACGCUGAGGAGCGAAAGCAUGGGUAGCGAACAGGAUUAGAUACCCUGGUAGUCCACGCCGUAAACGGUGGGCGCUAGGUGUAGGGGUCUUCCACGACUUCUGUGCCGUAGCUAACGCAUUAAGCGCCCCGCCUGGGGAGUACGGCCGCAAGGCUAAAACUCAAAGGAAUUGACGGGG
rnacentral:rRNA from 1 species